CUGAGUACGGCGGAACACGUGAAAUUCCGUCGGAAUCCGGGAGGACCAUCUCCCAAGGCUAAAUACUCCCUAGUGACCGAUAGUGAACCAGUACCGUGAGGGAAAGGUGAAAAGCACCCCGGAAGGGGAGUGAAACAGUUCCUGAAACCGUGUGCCUACAAGUAGUUAGAGCCCGUUAAUGGGUGAUAGCGUGCCUUUUGUAGAAUGAACCGGCGAGUUACGAUUUGUUGCAAGGUUAAGCGGAAAAAGCGGAGCCGUAGCGAAAGCGAGUCUGAAUAGGGCGCAUAAGUAACAGGUCGUAGACCCGAAACCAGGUGAUCUACCCAUGUCCAGGAUGAAGGUAAGGUAAUACUUACUGGAGGUCCGAACCCACGCACGUUGAAAAGUGCGGGGAUGAGGUGUGGGUAGCGGAGAAAUUCCAAUCGAACUUGGAGAUAGCUGGUUCUCUCCGAAAUAGCUUUAGGGCUAGCCUCGAGGUAAAGAGUCAUGGAGGUAGAGCACUGUUUGGACUAGGGGCCCUUCUCGGGUUACCGAAUUCAGAUAAACUCCGAAUGCCAUGUACUUAUACUCGGGAGUCAGACUGCGAGUGAUAAGAUCCGUAGUCGAAAGGGAAACAGCCCAGACCACCAGUUAAGGUCCCCAAAUAUAUGUUAAGUGGAAAAGGAUGUGGGGUUGCUUAGACAACCAGGAUGUUGGCUUAGAAGCAGCCACCAUUGAAAGAGUGCGUAAUAGCUCACUGGUCGAGUGACCCCGCGCCGAAAAUGUACCGGGGCUAAACAUAUUACCGAAACUGUGGAUGAACCUCUUUAGAGGUUCGUGGUAGGAGAGCGUUCUAAGGGCGGUGAAGUCAGACCGGAAGGACUGGUGGAGCGCUUAGAAGUGAGAAUGCCGGUAUGAGUAGCGAAAGAAGGGUGAGAAUCCCUUCCACCGAAUAUCUAAGGUUUCCUGAGGAAGGCUCGUCCGCUCAGGGUUAGUCGGGACCUAAGCCGAGGCCGAUAGGCGUAGGCGAUGGACAACAGGUAGAGAUUCCUGUACCAGUGCUAAUUGUUUAACCGAUGGGGUGACACAGAAGGAUAGGGAAUCGCACGAAUGGAAAUGUGCGUCCAAGCAGUGAGUGUGAGAAGUAGGCAAAUCCGCUUCUCGCGAAGCAUGAGCUGUGAUGGGGAAGGAAAUUAAGUACGGAAGUUCCUGAUUUCACGCUGUCAAGAAAAGCCUCUAGGAAGAGUAGUACUGCCCGUACCGCAAACCGACACAGGUAGAUGAGGAGAGAAUCCUAAGGUGAGCGAGAGAACUCUCGUUAAGGAACUCGGCAAAAUGACCCCGUAACUUCGGGAGAAGGGGUGCUCUAUUAGGGUGCAAGCCCGAGAGAGCCGCAGUGAAUAGGCCCAGGCGACUGUUUAGCAAAAACACAGGUCUCUGCAAAACCGUAAGGUGACGUAUAGGGGCUGACGCCUGCCCGGUGCUGGAAGGUUAAGAGGAGUGCUUAGCUUCGGCGAAGGUACGAAUUGAAGCCCCAGUAAACGGCGGCCGUAACUAUAACGGUCCUAAGGUAGCGAAAUUCCUUGUCGGGUAAGUUCCGACCCGCAC
rnacentral:rRNA from 1 species